UACAGAGGUGGCAAGCGUUGUUCGGAAUUACUGGGCGUAAAGGGCGCGUAGGCGGCCAUCUAAGUCAGACGUGAAAUCCCCCGGCUUAACCUGGGAACUGCGUCUGAUACUGGAAGGCUUGAGUAUGGGAGAGGGAUGUAGAAUUCCAGGUGUAGCGGUGAAAUGCGUAGAUAUCUGGAGGAAUACCGGUGGCGAAGGCGGCAUCCUGGACCAUUACUGACGCUGAGGAGCGAAAGCGUGGGGAGCGAACAGG
rnacentral:rRNA from 1 species